GGUUUAUAUAACUUUAUUUCAAAAUGAUGAAACAUGCCGUACGUAAUUAUUCCUCUUGUAAUUUAUGCAAAUUUAUAGGGUUAUGCAUAUGACCUCAGAGAUGCAAUACACAACAACAAACGUCUCCUCGUGUAGUUUGUACCUCAAAUACAUCACUGUUACUGAUAGUUCAAGGUACAGUUACACUUGUUUGAACUAAUAUUUCACAGAUAAGGUCUUUACUUGUCCUUGUGCAAGACUUGUCACCCUCAGAAACAUGCAUUUUUGUGCAUCAUGAUAAUAUUACAUCACAAAAAAAAAA
rnacentral:lncRNA from 1 species